AUGGCAAUGGUGAGAGGCAAGUGGGUGGGUAGCAAUAGUGAUGCUCUCAGCUCAGCUUUGUGGCCCCCCCAGACUCAGCUGAAGAGCCUGACUUUAUCCCUAACAAGGAUGUUAUAUACGCUAUCUUUUGAACAGGCGAAGGCAGACAUUUGGGCACAAGAAGCAGAGGUUGAGAAGUGCCUUCAUGAGUGCGCCACAAUGGCAGUGACCCAAGUCAUGUCCUGUGCUGGUGCCAAAAUCCCUCUUAAGGCCAAGAGUUCUGGGACAUCUUUAGCACCACAAUGGCUGUUUCAGUGUCUGAACCUUUUAGCAAGUCCAACUUUCUCUGCAGCGAAGGGUAACAUCUCUCCAGGAGAACCCACUGCGCUGUUUGAGAGACAUGUUGUUCCUUCCAGGGGCAGGAAACCUCAAGCUUGCCGAAGCACUUUUCCGAGCCAACAAGAGCUACAGUAAGAAAUUUUGAUUGAAAACAGGUGCAUGGCUGGCUGUCCAGCUGCAAAAGGAGUCAUGGUGAAGUUUGCAAAAGCUCUGGGGGAAAGGCGUGCAUUCAAAGUGAUGAAAAAAACAUUGGCACUGGGUUUGGUUUGGCAGGGGAAACCAGCAAGGGGCUGGGGAGCGACGGCUCCCUCAGCAGCCUGCACCAUGGCCCACACACAUUUCAUUUCAAGCACCUGAAGAGCAGAGGCCUGUUCAGCAGAGGGCCCUUGUAAUGACGUCAAAGAGUGAUUUGCAGGGCAAGCUCUUCUGGGAAGACAAGUCUGACCAUAUGCAGGUAUUUAAAUCCCCACGUUGGUCCCACAAGUCUGAGAAUUUGGCCAGUUCCUUGGGAGGAAAGACAACAGUCAGUGUCUGACCUUGUGCUCUUCCAGGCACAUCCUAGAGGGCGGCUGUCUAACUUUUGCAUUGCCUGAAAUCCAGCCUGAAAGUAGGUGCCUCUUUGGGAGUAAAGUAGACUCUCAUCAUGCAAAAAAGUGCUGGGGAAGCAGGGAAGGAAGAGAAAGGGAGAGAAAAUAGGGGCAGCGUGAGCAGUCUUCAACACUUCAAAGUAAUUAUGAAAACCUAUUUCUUUUAGCCUUAAGAAAACAAAUGCCUAUGGGUGACCACCAAAUCUGCAGGCCAAUAUGGCAAAACUUCAGACACGGGAAACGCACAAGCACCCUUCACACCUUCCCCUCCAUCCUGUAGCCUGCAGCUCGUCCUGCUGGCACUGACCUCCCUGCAGAAUCAUGUCCCACCACUGCUUCUCUGAGAGCACCGUGGCAGAGCCAGCACUUGGCACUCAGGGACCCCCAUUCGCCUGGGUUGGUGCACCCAAGGUCCAUUCUCCUGCCAGGUUUUUCUGUUUAAGAAACAAGGUGUCCCUUAAGUGACAACCCAUUGGAAGAGUAUUUUUGCUGCUGGGAUGCAACAACCUGUGUCCAUGGGUCCUGGGCAUGGUCCCAUGCUCCUGGGCAACCUGCUUGAGCAGGGGGUUGGACCAGAUGACCUCCAGAAGUCCCUUCCAGCCUCAAUCAUUCUGUGAAGUGGCCUUUUACUCCAGCCACCCCAGUAAGGAUGGCUUGACUGAGGGAGCAAGGGUCUGGGAGGGCAAUGACUGGAUGACUCUGCUGUGGGUAGAUGAAGAGGUGUAUCCAGAAUACCCACAGCACCAGGACAAUGCACAUGUUUAAGGCACUGUCCUUAUUUCCCUCCAUAGACUAGAGCAAAUUUCUCCAGCGAGGUGCCAUUAUCACCUAACACCUGGAGCUAGGACAUCCCAGAAGGCACGAGACAAGUGCCAGUGUCACUAGAUUUUGUGUUCUCCAUAAAGCUUCAGCUCCAGAUGUUGCAUGAGAAAGUGAGAAUUCUGCCAUAAGGUUUGGCUUUUAUGGCAACAGCUAAAAUCUAAAAUGGUACUUGAGCAGGUUAAAUGUUCAGAAACUGAAUAUAAACAAAGAUCAACCCUAUUUUAUUACUUUUUGAAGUUCAGAGCAUGUUGAUAAUUUUAGUGGCCUUAACUCAUGACUCAUGAAUGCUUUGAUGUGCUGUUACUGCUCCCGGUAUAAAAUAACCCUGUGCUGGCUUUGUUUACAGGCAGGGAUUUCCUUCCCUAAUAAAUGAUUGAAAAUGUUCUGACA
rnacentral:lncRNA from 1 species